rnacentral:rRNA from 1 species
GAUGAACGCUGGCGGCGUGCCUAAUACAUGCAAGUCGAGCGAACAGACGAGGAGCUUGCUCCUCUGACGUUAGCGGCGGACGGGUGAGUAACACGUGGAUAACCUACCUAUAAGACUGGGAUAACUUCGGGAAACCGGAGCUAAUACCGGAUAAUAUAUUGAACCGCAUGGUUCAAUAGUGAGAGACGGUUUUGCUGUCACUUAUAGAUGGAUCCGCGCCGCAUUAGCUAGUUGGUAAGGUAACGGCUUACCAAGGCAACGAUGCGUAGCCGACCUGAGAGGGUGAUCGGCCACACUGGAACUGAGACACGGUCCAGACUCCUACGGGAGGCAGCAGUAGGGAAUCUUCCGCAAUGGGCGAAGGCCUGACGGAGCAACGCCGCGUGAGUGAUGAAGGUCUUCGGAUCGUAAAACUCUGUUAUUAGGGAAGAACAAAUGUGUAAGUAACUAUGCACGUCUUGACGGUACCUAAUCAGAAAGCCACGGCUAACUACGUG